CUCCCUUUAGGAAGUUCACUAGCUGCAUGACAGAAACGCUGCAAAAAGACAUCUGGGGGUCUGAAGGACAAAAGUCAAAGUUGAUGGAUCAUAACCCGUCUGUGCUGCAAGCCUACCAAGCCGAACAAGAAAGAGAGAGAAGGAAGCUUCGUGAGGUGAGAAACCUGGAGAAGAAAGCAGAGAGAGCAGCAAUGAGAGCUCAUUUUAGGAGGAAAUAUCACCUCCCUACAAAUCCUGAAGACUCGAGGCACGUACAAGCCACAGUUCGGAACGUCUUCAUC